CUUGGACUGGUUCGAAACCAUCCCAGUAUAAAAAACUAAGGAGAU
rfam:Garciella nitratireducens DSM 15102 genome assembly, contig: BP36DRAFT_scaffold00007.7